CCCUAAAAUCUCAAGAAUCUUGCAAAUUGAAGGAUUAAUCCAAGUAAAAAUCAAGAAUUGAGCCUAGAAUCAUAAUCCUCAUCACAAGAGGAUUGUAAGGACAAGAUACCGGGACGUCGAGCGGACAAACCGGUGGUGAUUCUCGUUUGAAGGGCGUGCGCCAAGGUAAUUAGGUGGUCACAUGGAUGGCGAUCAAGCGACUUGAUGAUGAACCGAACACUCCACUUCGAAGCUUCCGCUAUGUUUUGAACUUGUUAAUUUGUUGUUCUUUUGUUGUAAACAAUUUCUUAAACGACUUAAUUUCGUUCUACCUUAGUCUUAGUAGACUAAGGUGUGUAAUAUUUUGAAACUUAUGUUAAUCUACCAU